CAGGAGGGCAGUGCAGGCCGAGUGAGGCUGUGUGUGCAAGUCACCGUCGCAGGGCCCGGCCAGAAAACCAUGCAGAGGGCCGCGCGCAGGCCACCUAAGCUGGUGUGGUUCGUGUGGCUGGGCCUGGCUGUCGGGAUCUUUACCUUGGUGACAUCACUGAAUGUCUUCUUUGCAUGGUUUGGUUGUCCGUGUGCACCGCAGAAUCUGUACCGCCCAGCUCUCUCCACCCGCUCACCUAUCUAACCACAUGUCACGAGCCAUCAGCACCCGACAGACGCCAGGGGGCUGUACUUUGAGAUGGAGCACCUCACCGGGGGGCAGAGCAGUCCCCAGGGCCCCCACCAAGUACACCCCACAGCCCCUGCCCCGAGGGACCCCUACGCUGCUUCGUAGGCUUCUCAUGGCUGCGUUUUGGAGGAAAACGCCCACUCGGCUUGAGACUUCAGGUGGGAAAGAAGGAAUUUGCCAGCAUAGAAACAGCGCAGGCGCAGAGGAAAUCGCAGACAAGUCUGAGUCCGCUUAGACAGCUUCUGCUCACCCCGCGUCACUGUCAACAACAACCUGGAGGGAAAAGCCGCGGCUCCAGGGCCGGCAUCUCGACCCGCGAGCGCUAAGCGCACGGGACUCCCAGAGACAGAGACACCAGCGAAAACUCCAGCGCCCAGGCUGCCGGCGAACGAUCACAGGGCACAGGGCCUCGUGAGUGGUCAGGGCGACGGGAAGGCCGGAACCCGAGAAUUCCCAUUUCCCACCUGCUACUUGGGCGGCAGUGGAGCCCGCCCACACCCUGCCCUGGGGAUGACAGAGCUCUCUGAGAACCAGCUCAGCAGCGUCUGGUAAAGCCGACUCCAGCAGCUCUGCCCCCAGAACAGCCCCGAGAGACCCCGAGAGACCCGUGCAGGGCGCCAGGACACUUGCGGGGGAAUGCUCACAGCAGCCGCAUUCGGAAGAGCAAGCGCCUCGCAGAAACCCGAUCCGUGCUCCCAGGUCCCUCCUGACCUCUGCGUGGGCGUGUCGGGACUCCCCCUGGGCCGCCCGGCUGGACCUGCCCCCCCUUCCUGGAUGGGGCGUGGAGCUCCCUGCAGACUCCGCCUCCACAGACAGACCCCGACCACCAGUCUGAGUGACAGCAAGUGCUGCGCCCCCCUCCUCCCCUUGCACACAGCAGUGAGAGCCCCUUCUCUCUGGGGGCCAUCAUGCUCUUUCACUGCCCCUCCACAGCCAGAACGGCCCACCUCCCGCUCUGCUGCCUCACAGGUAAGGAGGCGGGGCUCCUGGGUGGGCGGGGGAGGGAGGAGGGACUUGGAUGAGUUUCCUUGAGUUUAGAGCCUGGCCAGGAUGGAAGAAGAGGGAGAGGGGAAGUCAUCGUGGCAGGCCAAGCCCCCGAGCAGGCUCCAGCUCCAUCUCCCAGAACAGCUGCCCUGGCUCCGGACAUCAGGCCUCAAGUCCCAGCCCCAAAGCUUAAGGCUUCCCCAGCCACAGAAGACAGGUAAUAAGUAAAGGAGUGCAAAUCAGGAACUAAGUUUAUGACAAUAAAUCGUGGCUCUCUACCA
ensembl:lncRNA